rnacentral:rRNA from 1 species
GGUAAAAAAAAGGUAAGCUACUAAGAGCGAAUGGUGGAUGCCUUGACUGGUAAAGGCGAUGAAGGACGUACUAGACUGCGAUAAGCUACGGGGAGCUGUCAAGAAGCUUUGAUCCGUAGAUUUCCGAAUGGGGCAACCCAAUGUAUAGAGAUAUACAUUACCUAUAUAGGAGCGAACGAGGGGAAUUGAAACAUCUUAGUACCCUCAGGAAAAGAAAUCAAUAGAGAUUGCGUCAGUAGCGGCGAGCGAAAGCGCAAGAGGGCAAACCCAGUGCUUGCACUGGGGGUUG